GCCCCGGUAGCUCAGUGGAUCAGAGCAUCUGACUUCGGAUCAGAGGGUCGUGGGUUCGAAUCCUACCCGGGGUG
rnacentral:tRNA from 4 species